rnacentral:rRNA from 1 species
UCAGGACGAACGCUGGCGGCGUGCUUAACACAUGCAAGUCGAACGGGGAUUAAGUUGGAAAGGCUUCGGCCCGGAAGACAUAAUUCGAGUGGCGGACGGGUGAGUAACGCGUGAGCAACCUGUCCCAGACAGGGGGAUAACACUUGGAAACAGGUGCUAAUACCGCAUAAGACCACGGCAUCACAUGGUGCAGAGGUAAAAGGAGCAAUCCGGUUUGGGGUGGGCUCGCGUCCGAUUAGAUAGUUGGUGAGGUAACGGCCCACCAAGUCAACGAUCGGUAGCCGACCUGAGAGGGUGAUCGGCCACAUUGGAACUGAGAGACGGUCCAAACUCCUACGGGAGGCAGCAGUGGGGAAUAUUGGGCAAUGGGCGAAAGCCCUGACCCAGCAACGGGCCGCGUGAGUGAAGAAGGCCUUCGGGUUGUAAAGCUCUGUUAUGUGGGACGAAGGAAGUGACGGUACCACAUAAGGAAGCCCCGGCUAACUACGUGCCAGCCGCCGC